rnacentral:rRNA from 1 species
UUGAAAUGAUAUGAAGAACUUGUUCAGAUUUGAUUUUCAACAUUGCAAUGAGUGGCGAACGGGUGAGUAACACGUGGGAAACCUACCUCUUAGCAGGGGAUAACAUUUGGAAACAAAUGCUAAUACCGUAUAAUAAUUAAAACCGCAUGGUUUUAGUUUAAAGAUGGUCUUGCUAUCACUAAGAGAUGGUCCCGCGGUGUAUUAGUUAGUUGGUGAGGUAAUGGCUCACCAAGACAAUGAUACAUAGCCGAGUUGAGAGACUGACCGGCCACAAUGGGACUGAGACACGGCCCAUACUCCUACGGGAGGCAGCAGUAGGGAAUCUUCCACAAUGGACGAAAGUCUGAUGGAGCAACGCCGCGUGUGUGAUGAAGGGUUUCGGCUCGUAAAACACUGUUGUAAGAGAAGAAUGACAUUGAGAGUAACUGUUCAAUGUGUGACGGUAUCUUACCAGAAAGGAACGGCUAAAUACGUG